rnacentral:miRNA from 1 species
AGAGUUGAGUGUGGACAUCAUGA